rnacentral:rRNA from 1 species
UACGGGGGGGGGCAAGCGUUGUUCGGAAUUACUGGGCGUAAAGGGCUCGUAGGCGGCCAACUAAGUCAGACGUGAAAUCCCUCGGCUUAACCGGGGAACUGCGUCUGAUACUGGAUGGCUUGAGUGUGGGAGAGGGAUGCGGAAUUCCAGGUGUAGCGGUGAAAUGCGUAGAUAUCUGGAGGAACACCGGUGGCGAAGGCGGCAUCCUGGACCAUUACUGACGCUGAUGAGCGAAAGCCAGGGGAGCAAACGGG